rnacentral:piRNA from 1 species
UGGUCUGAGAGCUUCACCCGGUCACCC